UACGGGGGGGGGCAAGCGUUGUUCGGAAUUACUGGGCGUAAAGGGCUCGUAGGCGGCCAACUAAGUCAGACGUGAAAUCCCUAGGCUCAACCUAGGAACUGCGUCUGAUACUGGAUGGCUUGAAUUCGGGAGAGGGAUGCAGAAUUCCAGGUGUAGCGGUGAAAUGCGUAGAUAUCUGGAGGAAUACCGGUGGCGAAGGCGGCAUCCUGGACCGAGAUUGACACUGAUGAGCGAAAGCCAGGGGAGCAAACGGG
rnacentral:rRNA from 1 species